rnacentral:rRNA from 1 species
UACGUAGGGGGCAAGCGUUGUCCGGAAUCAUUGGGCGUAAAGAGCGUGUAGGCGGCCAGAUAAGUCCGCUGUGAAAUCUCGAAGCUCAACUUCGAGCUGUCGGUGGAAACUGUCUGGCUAGAGUCCGGAAGAGGAGAAUGGAAUUCCUGGUGUAGCGGUGAAAUGCGCAGAUAUCAGGAAGAACACCCGUGGCGAAGGCGGUUCUCUGGGACGGUACUGACGCUGAGACGCGAAAGCGUGGGGAGCGAACAGG